GUUAAGCGACUAAGCGUACACGGUGGAUGCCCUGGCAGUCAGAGGCGAUGAAGGACGUGCUAAUCUGCGAUAAGCGCCGGUAAGGUGAUAUGAACCGUUAUAACCGGCGAUUUCCGAAUGGGGAAACCCAGUGUGAUUCGUCACACUAUCAUUAACUGAAUCCAUAGGUUAAUGAGGCGAACCGGGGGAACUGAAACAUCUAAGUACCCCGAGGAAAAGAAAUCAACCGAGAUUCCCCCAGUAGCGGCGAGCGAACGGGGAGGAGCCCAGAGCCUGAAUCAGCAUGUGUGUUAGUGGAAGCGUCUGGAAAGGCGCGCGAUACAGGGUGACAGCCCCGUACACAAAAGCGCAUGUGCUGUGAGCUCGAUGAGUAGGGCGGGACACGUGGUAUCCUGUCUGAAUAUGGGGGGACCAUCCUCCAAGGCUAAAUACUCCUGACUGACCGAUAGUGAACCAGUACCGUGAGGGAAAGGCGAAAAGAACCCCGGCGAGGGGAGUGAAAAAGAACCUGAAACCGUGUACGUACAAGCAGUGGGAGCACCCUUCGGGGUGUGACUGCGUACCUUUUGUAUAAUGGGUCAGCGACUUAUAUUCUGUAGCAAGGUUAACCGUAUAGGGGAGCCGGAGGGAAACCGAGUCUUAAUUGGGCGUUAAGUUGCAGGGUAUAGACCCGAAACCCGGUGAUCUAGCCAUGGGCAGGUUGAAGGUUGGGUAACACUAACUGGAGGACCGAACCGACUAAUGUUGAAAAAUUAGCGGAUGACCUGUGGCUGGGGGUGAAAGGCCAAUCAAACCGGGAGAUAGCUGGUUCUCCCCGAAAGCUAUUUAGGUAGCGCCUCGUGAAUUCAUCUCCGGGGGUAGAGCACUGUUUCGGCUAGGGGGCCAUCCCGGCUUACCAACCCGAUGCAAACUGCGAAUACCGGAGAAUGUUAUCACGGGAGACACACGGCGGGUGCUAACGUCCGUCGUGAAGAGGGAAACAACCCAGACCGCCAGCUAAGGUCCCAAAGUCAUGGUUAAGUGGGAAACGAUGUGGGAAGGCCCAGACAGCCAGGAUGUUGGCUUAGAAGCAGCCAUCAUUUAAAGAAAGCGUAAUAGCUCACUGGUCGAGUCGGCCUGCGCGGAAGAUGUAACGGGGCUAAACCAU
rnacentral:rRNA from 1 species